rnacentral:rRNA from 1 species
CAGUAGCCACGGUAAUACGUAGGGUGCAAGCGUUAAUCGGAAUUACUGGGCGUAAAGCGUGCGCAGGCGGUUAUAUAAGACAGAUGUGAAAUCCCCGGGCUCAACCUGGGAACUGCAUUUGUGACUGUAUAGCUAGAGUACGGCAGAGGGGGAUGGAAUUCCGCGUGUAGCAGUGAAAUGCGUAGAUAUGCGGAGGAACACCGAUGGCGAAGGCAAUCCCCUGGGCCUGUACUGACGCUCAUGCACGAAAGCGUGGGGAGCAAACAGGAUUAGAUACCCCUGUAGUCCUGUCUCUUAUACA